CCUACGGGGGGCAGCAGUGGGGAAUAUUGGGCAAUGGGCGCAAGCCUGACCCAGCAACGCCGCGUGAAGGAAGAAGGCCCUCGGGUUGUAAACUUCUUUUAACAGGGACGAAGGAAGUGACGGUACCUGUUGAAUAAGCCACGGCUAACUACGUGCCAGCAGCCGCGGUAAUACGUAGGUGGCAAGCGUUAUCCGGAUUUACUGGGUGUAAAGGGCGUGUAGGCGGGGAAGCAAGUCAGAUGUGAAAUUCCAGGGCUCAACCCUGGAACUGCAUUUGAAACUGUUUUUCUUGAGUGAUGGAGAGGCAGGCGGAAUUCCGUGUGUAGCGGUGAAAUGCGUAGAUAUACGGAGGAACACCAGUGGCGAAGGCGGCCUGCUGGACAUUAACUGACGCUGAGGCGCGAAAGCGUGGGGAGCAAACAGGAUUAGAUACCCUUG
rnacentral:rRNA from 1 species